rnacentral:rRNA from 1 species
UACGUAGGGCGCAAGCGUUAUCCGGAAUUAUUGGGCGUAAAGAGCUCGUAGGCGGUUUGUCGCGUCUGCCGUGAAAGUCCGGGGCUCAACUCCGGAUCUGCGGUGGGUACGGGCAGACUAGAGUGAUGUAGGGGAGACUGGAAUUCCUGGUGUAGCGGUGAAAUGCGCAGAUAUCAGGAGGAACACCGAUGGCGAAGGCAGUGGUCUGGGCCGAUACUGACGCUGAGGAGCGAAAGCGUGGGGAGCGAACAGG